rnacentral:rRNA from 1 species
UGAAAGCCCACAGCUUAACUGUGGAGGGUCAUUGGAAACUGGGGAACUUUGAGUUGCAGAAGAGGAGAGUGGAAUUCCACGUGUAGCGGUGAAAUGCGUAGAUAUGUGGAGGAACACCAGUGGCGAAGGCGACUCUCUGGUCUGUAACUGACGCUGAGGCGCGAAAGCGUGGGGAGCGAACAGGAUUAGAUACCCUGGUAGUCCACGCCGUAAACGAUGAGUGCUAGGUGUUAGGGGGUUUCCGCCCCUUAGUGCUGAAGUUAACGCAUUAAGCACUCCGCCUGGGGAGUACGGCCGCAAGGCUGAAACUCAAAAGAAUUGACGGGGGCCCGCACAAGCGGUGGAGCAUGUGGUUUAAUUCGAAGCAACGCGAAGAACCUUACCAGGUCUUGACAUCCGCUGACAACCUUGGAGACAAGGCGUUCCCUUCGGGGACAGCGUGACAGGUGGUGCAUGGUUGUCGUCAGCUCGUGUCGUGAGAUGUUGGGUUAAGUCCCGCAACGAGCGCAACCCUUGAUUCUAGUUGCCAGCAUUCAGUUGGGCACUCUAGAGUGACUGCCGGUGACAAACCGGAGGAAGGUGGGGAUGACGUCAAAUCAUCAUGCCCCUUAUGACCUGGGCUACACACGUGCUACAAUGGAUGGUACAAAGGGCAGCAAAGUCGCGAGGCUAAGCAAAUCCCAUAAAACCAUUCUCAGUUCGGAUUGCAGGCUGCAACUCGCCUGCAUGAAGCCGGAAUCGCUAGUAAU